rnacentral:rRNA from 1 species
AUUGAACGCUGGCGGCAGGCUUAACACAUGCAAGUCGAACGAGUGGCGGACGGGGGAGUAAUGCAUGGGAAUCUAGCUUAUGGAGGGGGAUAACUACGGGAAACAGGAGCUAAUACCGCGUACCAUAGGAAGAGCCGAUGUGGGAUUCGUUAGUUGGUGAGUUAAAGGCUCACCAAGCCGACGAUCUCUAGCUGGUCUGAGAGGAUGACCAGCCCCACUGGGACUGAGACGCGGCCCAGACUCCUCCGGGAGGCAGCAGGGGGGAAUAUUGCGCAAUGGGGGCAACCUGACGCAGCCAUGCCGCGUGAAUGAAGAAGUCCUUCGGGUUGUAAAGUUCUUUCGGUAGCGAGGCUUUAUCUACAGAAGAAGCACCGGCUAACUCCGUGCCAGCAGCCGCGGUAAUUC